rnacentral:rRNA from 1 species
GGAUAGCCUUUCGAAAGAAAGAUUAAUACCCGAUGGUAUGAUGAGAUUGCAUGAUAGCAUCAUUAAAGAUUUAUCGGUGUACGAUGGGGAUGCGUUCCAUUAGGUAGUAGGCGGGGUAACGGCCCACCUAGCCGACGAUGGAUAGGGGUUCUGAGAGGAAGGUCCCCCACAUUGGAACUGAGACACGGUCCAAACUCCUACGGGAGGCAGCAGUGAGGAAUAUUGGUCAAUGGACGAGAGUCUGAACCAGCCAAGUAGCGUGAAGGAUGAAGGUCCUACGGAUUGUAAACUUCUUUUAUAAGGGAAUAAAACCUCCCACGUGUGGGAGCUUGUAUGUACCUUAUGAAUAAGCAUCGGCUAACUCCGUGCCAGCAGCCGCGGUAAUACGGAGGAUGCGAGCGUUAUCCGGAUUUAUUGGGUUUAAAGGGAGCGC